GGCAGGUUUUCAAGGUUUUAAACCCAAGAAGAAAGGGGCGGGGGCGAGGGAGGAGAAUCAUCUUCAGGAAAAGCUUCCAACUUCGGCCGCUGCCAAGUUUCCAAAGCCAGACGCUAUGUUUGCCUUGGGCCGGAGCACCCUGAGCCGCCUCUCUGUUCGAAGCAUUCAACAAACGGUGCUAAGGCAGAAGCACCAGAAAAAGAAACUUGAAUUCGAAGAACAGUUCGGCCUCCCCUUCUUGCUAAGUGGAGCCGUUUUCUGCUUUUCUUCUUGGGGAUACCUUCUGUGUCACCUGGACCUCCAUAAUUACCUGUCCCCCAUUGGCAGAGUCAGGCCGAGGCCAUGGAAAAAGGAGUGACGGAGAGCCCUCCUGUCUCAGCACAGCCGAUAUUAUGGGAAGAACAAACAACCUGGAGCGCAAAAGACACAUACCUAGUUCUUGUUGGGAUAUUAAAAAAUGCUUUAUUAUAUAGCUUUGAUGUUGAACUUCAGUAUAACUAA